rnacentral:rRNA from 1 species
UGCCAGCCGCCGCGGUAAUACGUAAGUGGCGAGCGUUAUCCGGAAUCACUGGGCGUAAAGCGUUCGUAGGCGGCGCGGAAAGUUGGAAUUGAAAUCCCGGGGCUCAACUCCGGACCCGGUUCCAAAACUUCCGUGCUUGAGCGUAUCAGAGGGCAGCGGAAUUCCCGGUGUAGCGGUAAUAUGCGUAGAUAUCGGGAGGAACACCAGUGGCGAAGGCGGCUGCCUGGGGUAUUGCUGACGCUGAGGAACGAAAGCCAGGGGAGCGAACGGGAUUAGAUA